UACGUAGGGCGCAAGCGUUGUCCGGAAUUAUUGGGCGUAAAGCGCUUGUAGGCGGCUUGUUAAGUUCCGUGUGAAAUCCCCAGGCUUAACCUGGGAAGUGCGCGGAAAACUGGCGAGCUUGAGUGCCGGAGAGGGUCGCGGAAUUCCCGGUGUAGAGGUGAAAUUCGUAGAUAUCGGGAGGAACACCAGUGGCGAAGGCGGCAUCCUGGACCGAGAUUGACGCUGAGGCGCGAAAGCCAGGGGAGCAAACGGG
rnacentral:rRNA from 1 species